CCGCUACUCGACACGUCCCAAAUCCUCAUGAAUCCCGGUUUUGAUCACUAGUUGCAGUGAUCACCGGGAUUCUAUGAAGAUCUGGGCUUCGAGAAGGCU
rnacentral:pre_miRNA from 14 species